ensembl:misc_RNA Metazoa_SRP Metazoan signal recognition particle RNA
GCUGGGCAUGGUGGCGCAUGCCUGUAAUCCCAGCUACUCAGGAGGCUGAGGCAGGGGAAUUGCCUGAACCCAGGAGGCAGAGGUUGCGGUGAGCUGAGAUCGCGCCAUUGCACUCCAGCCUGGGUAACCACGGCGAAACUCUGUCUCAA